CCUACGGGGUGCAGCAGUGAGGAAUAUUGGUCAAUGGGCGAGAGCCUGAACCAGCCAAGUCGCGUGAAGGAUGACGGCCCUACGGGUUGUAAACUUCUUUUGUCAGGGAGCAAUUGGGUCCACGCGUGGGCUUAGCGAGUGUACCUGAAGAAAAAGCAUCGGCUAACUCCGUGCAAGCAGCCGCGGUAAUACGGAGGAUGCGAGCGUUAUCCGGAUUUAUUUGGUUUGAAGGGUGCGAAGGCGGAAUAUCAAGUCAGCGGUAAAAAUUGGGGGCUCAACCCCGUCGUGCCGUGGAAACUGAUGUUCUUGAGUGGGCGAGAGGUAUGCGGAAUGCGUGGUGUAGCGGUGAAAUGCGUAGAUAUCACGCAGAACUCCGAUUGCGAAGGCAGCAUACCGGCGCCCAACUGACGCUGAAGCACGAAAGCGUGGGUAUCGAACAGGAUUAGAUACCCUAGUAGUC
rnacentral:rRNA from 1 species